rnacentral:rRNA from 1 species
GACGAACGCUGGCGGCGUGCUUAACACAUGCAAGUCGAACGGAAAGGCCCUGCUUUUGUGGGGUGCUCGAGUGGCGAACGGGUGAGUAACACGUGAGUAACCUGCCCUUGACUUUGGGAUAACUUCAGGAAACUGGGGCUAAUACCGGAUAGGAGCUCCUGCUGCAUGGUGGGGGUUGGAAAGUUUCGGCGGUUGGGGAUGGACUCGCGGCUUAUCAGCUUGUUGGUGGGGUAGUGGCUUACCAAGGCUUUGACGGGUAGCCGGCCUGAGAGGGUGACCGGCCACAUUGGGACUGGGAUGCGGCCCGGACUCCUACGGGAGGCAGCAGUGGGGAAUAUUGCACAAUGGGCGGAAGCCUGAUGCAGCAACGCCGCGUGCGGGAUGACGGCCUUCGGGUUGUAAACCGCUUUCGCCUGUGACGAAGCGUGAGUGACGGUAAUGGGUAAAGAAGCACCGGCUAACUACGUG